GCCACCCUAGCUCAAUCGGCAGAGCAAGCGCUUCGUAAGCGUUAGGUUUGGGGUUCAAGUCCCCAGGGUGGCUCCU
rnacentral:tRNA from 1 species